rnacentral:tRNA from 1 species
GGAGAGGUCGCCUAGUGGCCUAUGGCGCUUGCUUGGAAAGCAGGUUUACGCGUAAGCGUAUCGGGGGUUCGAAUCCCCCUCUCUCCGCCA